UACGUAGGGUGCAAGCAUUGUCCGGAUUUAUUGGGCGUAAAGAGCUCGUAGGCGGCUUGUCACGUCGGGUGUGAAAACUCGGGGCUCAACCCCGAGCCUGCACUCGAUACGGGCUAGCUAGAGUGUUGCAGGGGAGACUGGAAUUCCUGGUGUAGCGGUGAAAUGCGCAGAUAUCAGGAGGAACACCGGUGGCGAAGGCGGGUCUCUGGGCCGAUACUGACGCUGAGGGGCGAAAGCGUGGGGAGCGAACAGG
rnacentral:rRNA from 1 species